CUCCUUCAAAAUGCAUGAAUCCAAAUAAUCCAAACAAGUCAAACAACGUUUAUAAUCGAACCCUAAUACGUAAAUAAACAAUACAAUUUAAGACGAAGAAUAGUUCAUUACCGGAGAUAAAUAACAAACAACUUGCUUUCCUCCAAGCGCAUGGAAAAACUACAGCCAAAAUGGGAGCAACUUAGAAAAACUUCUUGCUCAUUUUUCCUAAAACCAGCCUGAAACUUUUUCUAACUUUUUUGGCAUCAAGUGGAAGCCCUAGGAACUGCAAUCUGGGAGGUUUUUGCCUUGACAGCCAGUGGAAGGCCAAAUGUUCUUUUUUGGGGUUGUCCUCGGGGUUUCUCCUGCCAUAUCAGUUUUGUUAUACUCACAGACAUAAUUCUAACAGUUUCAGAAACUUUAGACGGUUUUCUACCCAAAUCUACCAAGUAUAUACAUAUCCUUCUGGGCCUGAGUAACAGGCUGUUUACUUUGGGCACGCUUUUUAUCUGGAUGUCAAAAUACUGGCCCCUACCCAAGAGAGGUUAACCGACUGACUCAAAAUACUGCCCCCUACCCAAGAGAGGUUAACCGACUGACUCAAAAUACUGGCCCCUACCCAAGAGAGGUUAACCGACUGACUCAAAAUACUGGCCCCUACCCAAGAGAGGUUAACCGACUGACUCAAAAUACUGCCCCCUACCCAAGAGAGGUUAACCGACUGACUCAAAAUACUGCCCCCUAUCCAAGAGAGGUUAACCGACUGACUCAAAAUACUGCCCGCUAUCCAAGAGACAUUAACCGACUCACUCAAAAUACUGGCCCCUACCCAAGAGAGGUUAACCGACUGACUCAAAAUACUGGCCCCUAUCCAAGAGAGGUUAACCGACUGACUCAAAAUACUGCCCCCUAUCCAAGAGACAUUAACCGACUCACUCAAAAUACUGCCCCCUAUCCAAGAGAGGUUAACCGACUGACUCAAAAUACUGGCCCCUACCCAAGAGAGGUUAACCGACUGACUCAAAAUACUGGCCCCUACCCAAGAGAGGUUAACCGACUGACUCAAAAUACUGGCCCCUACCCAAGAGAGGUUAACCGACUGACUCAAAAUACUGGCCCCUACCCAAGAGAGGUUAACCGACUGACUCAAAAUACUGCCCCCUACCCAAGAGAGGUUAACCGACUGACUCAAAAUACUGCCCCCUAUCCAAGAGAGGUUAACCGAAUGACUCAAAAUACUGGCCCCUACCCAAGAGAGGUUAACCGACUGACUCAAAAUACUGCCCCCUAUCCAAGAGAGGUUAACCGACUGACUCAAAAUACUGGCCCACUAUCCAAGAGAGGUUAACCGAAUGACUCAAAAUACUGGCCCCUACCCAAGAGAGGUUAACCGACUGACUCAAAAUACUGGCCCCUACCCAAGAGAGGCUAACCGACUGACUCAAAAUACUGGCCCCUACCCAAGAGAGGUUAACCGACUGACUCAAAAUACUGGCCCCUACCCAAGAGAGGUUAACCGACUGACUCAAAAUACUGCCCCCUAUCCAAGAGAGGUUAACCGACUGACUCAAAAUACUGCCCACUAUCCAAGAGAGGUUAACCGACUGACUCAAAAUACUGCCCCCUAUCCAAGAGAUGUUAACCGACUGACUCAAAAUACUGCCCCCUAUCCAAGAGAGGUUAACCGACUGACUCAAAAUACUGCCCCCUAUCCAAGAGAGGUUAACCGACUGACUCAAAAUACUGGCCCCUAUCCAAGAGAGGCUAACCGACUGACUCAAAAUACUGC